rnacentral:tRNA from 1 species
GAGGGUAUAGCUCAGUGGUAGAGCAUAUGCUUAGCAUGCACAAGGCCCUGGGUUCAAUCCCCAGUACCUCCA